rnacentral:rRNA from 1 species
GAUGAACGCUGGCGGCGUGCCUAAUACAUGCAAGUCGAGCGAAUGGAUUGAGAGCUUGCUCUCAAGAAGUUAGCGGCGGACGGGUGAGUAACACGUGGGUAACCUGCCCAUAAGACUGGGAUAACUCCGGGAAACCGGGGCUAAUACCGGAUAACAUUUUGAACUGCAUGGUUCGAAAUUGAAAGGCGGCUUCGGCUGUCACUUAUGGAUGGACCCGGGUCGCAUUAGGUAGUUGGUGAGGUAACGGCUCACCAAGGCAACGAUGCGUCGCCGACCUGAGAGGGUGAUCGGCCACACUGGGACUGAGACACGGCCCAGACUCCUACGGGAGGCAGCAGUAGGGAAUCUUCCGCAAUGGACGAAAGUCUGACGGAGCAACGCCGCGUGAGUGAUGAAGGCUUUCGGGUCGUAAAACUCUGUUGUUAGGGAAGAACAAGUGCUAGUUGAAUAAGCUGGCACCUUGGCGGUACCUAACCAGAAAGCCACGGCUAACUACGUGCCAGCAGCCGCCGUAACAC